CUAGCCCUAAACGAUGCAGACUAGACGUCGGCGGUGUAAUAGCUGUCGGUGUCCAAGCUAACGCGAUAAGUCUGCCGCCUGGGGACUACGGCCGCAAGGUUAAAACUCAAAGGAAUUGAC
rnacentral:rRNA from 1 species